GAUGAACGCUGGCGGCGUGCCUAAUACAUGCAAGUCGAGCGAACAGACGAGGAGCUUGCUCCUCUGAUGUUAGCGGCGGACGGGUGAGUAACACGUGGAUAACCUACCUAUAAGACUGGGAUAACUUCGGGAAACCGGAGCUAAUACCGGAUAACAUGUUGAACCGCAUGGUUCAACAGUGAAAGACGGUCUUGCUGUCACUUAUAGAUGGAUCCGCGCCGCAUUAGCUAGUUUGUAAGGUAACGGCUUACCAAGGCAACGAUGCGUAGCCGACCUGAGAGGGUGAUCGGCCACACUGGAACUGAGACACGGUCCAGACUCCUACGGGAGGCAGCAGUAGGGAAUCUUCCGCAAUGGGCGAAAGCCUGACGGAGCAACGCCGCGUGAGUGAAGAAGGUCUUCGGAUCGUAAAACUCUGUUAUUAGGGAAGAACAAAUGUGUAAGUAACUAUGCACGUCUUGACGGUACCUAAUCAGAAAGCCACGGCUAACUACGUG
rnacentral:rRNA from 1 species